GUGAGCACCAAGCCUGCCGCCCACAGGCCCGGUGCUUCCAGCCUUAACUACCUGUCAUCCCCCCACCCCUCCACCCCCAGGGGCCGCGGUGCACCGAGUCCCCCCACCGGCCCUGCUCCUGCUGGCCCUGGCUGCAGGCCUCCUCCCGCGAGUUCUCUGAAGGUGGCUGCUUCAGGCCACGCCCUGCCCAGGAAAAGCUACAGAAUCCAACCCAAGAAACCAGGAAAUCAGCUAACCCUGCAGGAGAGCGCGAGAUGCGAUGCGAGAGGCAAGGUGAGAAUUCACACGCACAACCCUCCGAUGUGCGAUUCUAACCCAAAGAGAAAUUUCUAGAAUCAGGAUGAUUGUUAACGCCAAGUCUUCCCACCUGCCGGAGCCCUCAGUACCUG
rnacentral:lncRNA from 1 species